GUGGGGAAUAUUGGACAAUGGGCGAAAGCCUGAUCCAGCCAUGCCGCGUGUGUGAAGAAGGUCUUCGGCUUGUAAAGCACUUUAAGUUGGGAGGAAGGGCAGUAAGUUAAUACCUUGCUGUUUUGACGUUACCGACAGAAUAAGCACCGGCUAACUUCGUGCCAGCAGCCGCGGUAAUACGAAGGGUGCAAUCGUUAAUCGGAAUUACUGGGCGUAAAGCGCGCGUAGGUGGUUUUGUAAGUUGGAGGUGAAAUCCCCGGGCUCAACCUGGGGACUGCCUCCAAGACUGCAUGGCUAGAGUACGGUAGAGGGUAGUGGAAUUUCCUGUGUAGCGGUGAGAUGCGUAGAUAUAGGAAGGAACACCAGUGGCGAAGGCGACUACCUGGACUGAUACUGACACUGAGGUGCGAAAGCGUGGGGAGCAAACAGGAUUAGAAACCCUGGUAGUCC
rnacentral:rRNA from 1 species